rnacentral:rRNA from 1 species
GAUGAACGCUGGCGGCGUGCCUAAUACAUGCAAGUCGAGCGAACAGACGAGGAGCUUGCUCCUUUGACGUUAGCGGCGGACGGGUGAGUAACACGUAGGUAACCUACCUAUAAGACUGGGAUAACUUCGGGAAACCGGAGCUAAUACCGGAUAAUAUUUCGAACCGCAUGGUUCGAUAGUGAAAGAUGGCUUUGCUAUCACUUAUAGAUGGACCUGCGCCGUAUUAGCUAGUUGGUAAGGUAACGGCUUACCAAGGCAACGAUACGUAGCCGACCUGAGAGGGUGAUCGGCCACACUGGAACUGAGACACGGUCCAGACUCCUACGGGAGGCAGCAGUAGGGAAUCUUACGCAAUGGGCGAAAGCCUGACGGAGCAACGCCGCGUGAGUGAUGAAGGUCUUCGGAUCGUAAAACUCUGUUAUUAGGGAAGAACAAACGUGUAAGUAACUGUGCACGUCUUGACGGUACCUAAUCAGAAAGCCACGGCUAACUACGUG